CAAUAUUAUAAACCAUUAAAAUGUGACUAUAAAGACACAAUCACAUGAUUCUAAAGAUGUCAAAGGAUCAUGCACUUCUCUCCUUCAUGCAAUUUAGCAGGAAUAAUGGUGUCAGGGAACAUUGGUUCAGUGGAACUAAUGUUCAGGGACUUGUGGGGAAGUAGUUCUGUGUGACCACCUAGUGCUUUAUAAGGCCAGCCUGCUGAGUAAGAAGAAACUGAUAAGAACCUAAUCAGUAGAACAGCUGUAGUGACUUUGAGCUGAUCUCUCUGGUUGCUCAGUCCUCAGCCCAGAUCUUGUCUCCUGAAGCAAGUCAUUUACCACACUUGGUUGGGCUACUACUGUAGCCCUGAAAACAUGGGAGGCAAACUGAGUAAGAAGGGAUUCAAUGUGGCUUAUGAGAAACCAACAGCCCAGAGUUCUGACGAAGAAGCUACAGAGGCUGCUACAGUGAAGCCAGAGGAAACCCAUCCUGUGGCAGAGUCCGUGGGACUCACAACUGAGAAGAGGGACCAAGAUUCCCAGGUCCCUGCUCAUGAGACAGAAGACAAGGAGGGAAGUGGAGUCCCUGCAGUGGGUGUGGAAGAGAUCUGUAAACCUGAACCAAAAGAGCUAGAUUUGGUGCCUAACGAAGAGCAGCAGGUGGCUGCUAUCAGUGAGGAAACCAUUAAAUCUCCAAAGGCGGAACCUUCCCAGCUUCUGGAAGUCACAGAACCUACAGGUGUUGAGAACAGACAGGAAGGGGAUGGUGAAUAGAUGGAAUCCCCCCACAUCUGAAUACCAAGUUUCCAUUUCAAGACCCAUCUCUAUGAAGAGGCACCUUCUGCAGAGUGAGCCUGGCAACACUAAUUCUACUCUCCGCUUCUCCAACCUCUGAGACUGUAGCUGUGGAAGAACACCUCAAUCUUUCAGCAACUAUCUGAUCCCUAGCGCUAGAGUGAAAUGGACAGACUGAGCAAUGCUAUUUUAAACUACCUCUUUUGGGUGGUUCCAUCAGCACUGGUGAGCUGUAUCCCCAGCUCUUAGCCAAAUUUCUGUCCUCUGGAGAAGCAUGGGGAAUGAAGAUGGCAUGCAUCUUUGAUAUUUUUUUUCUACCAAUUGCCCAAAGUCCUGUAACUUUAUCUAGACUGUCUGAAAAUACAGCACUCUCUCAAUACCUGAACUGUCAUAAUUGCACUUUCCAGUGCAUAGCCAUCUUUAUCUGUUUAAUGCAGGUUCUGUUUGACUUAAUGUGAUAUUUUCAUGCAUAUUUAUAUAUGUGAUGGGCAAGCAGCUUUAAGACCAAACUUGCUUCCUCUGUAUUCCUUUUACUGUCUUAAGUUGCCUGACAUGGGUUUGUGUCCUGCAUGCUGUAAAGAUCUUGUGAUUUGACACAUAGCUUAAUCAGUAUCUGUUAACUACAAUUCCAGCUCGGUUUGAGGACCAGCUGACCCUUUUUCCAAUAGAAUAACAUGCAAUAGAAGAAAAUUAAUAUAGUGUCUUAUUGUAUAAACUAAUAGUGUAAAUUCAGAACCACUAUUUCUUAGGUAUAGUAAUAGGACACUAAAAGCUUGUGAAAGUCUAUAUACAGUAGCCUGGUAUAGUGACUGCUGUAUUCUAAUAUUUGCUAGUAAUAAACUUCAUUUUAUAAUUGCA